ACAGACAGACAGACAGGCAGCAACACAGGGCAACAUUUUUAAAAAACACACCUGAGUUGAAAAGUGUGUGCACACUGACUAGUGAUGUAAAACAUUUAUGAUUAUCUAGAGGGGGAUGUGACAACUUAAAACAUUUUUCAUAUAUUACUGUUGCACGUGUUGUCCUAAAAUAGGCUUGCACUUCACAUGUUGUGUGUCUGUCUGUCUGU
rnacentral:misc_RNA from 1 species